GAUUGCUUCCUGGAACAAUAUCCUGGUGCUGCUUGAGUUCUGCUUCCACACUCCAGCAUCAGUGAUUUUGUUGCAGGGGG
rnacentral:pre_miRNA from 10 species